GAUGAACGCUGGCGGCGUGCCUAAUACAUGCAAGUCGAGCGAAUGGAUUAAGAGCUUGCUCUUAUGAAGUUAGCGGCGGACGGGUGAGUAACACGUGGGUAACCUGCCCAUAAGACUGGGAUAACUCCGGGAAACCGGGGCUAAUACCGGAUAACAUUUUGAACCGCAUGGUUCGAAAUUGAAAGGCCGCUUCGGCUGUCACUUAUGGAUGGACCCGCGUCGCAGUAGCUAGUUGGUGAGGUAACGGCUCACCAAGGCAACGAUGCGUAGCCGACCUGAGAGGGUGAUCGGCCACACUGGGACUGGGACACGGCCCAGACUCCUACGGGAGGCAGCAGUAGGGAAUCUUCCGCAAUGGACGAAAGUCUGACGGAGCAACGCCGCGUGAGUGAUGAAGGCUUUCGGGUCGUAAAACUCUGUUGUUAGGGAAGAACAAGUGCUAGUUGAAUAAGCUGGCACCUUGACGGUACCUAACCAGAAAGCCACGGCUAACUACGUGCCAGCCGCCGCAGUAA
rnacentral:rRNA from 1 species